rnacentral:rRNA from 1 species
GGGGGGGGGGGGGGGCGGGGCUUACGCAGGCGAGGCGGGCGGCAGCGCGGGAGCAAUCCUGGCGGCGAGGGGCGAACGGGGGAGUAAUACAUCGGAACGUGCCCAAUCGUGGGGGAUAACGCAGCGAAAGCUGUGCUAAUACCGCAUACGAGCUACGGAUGAAAGCAGGGGAUCGCAAGACCUUGCGCGAAUGCAGCCGCCGAUGGCAGAUUAGGUAGUUGGUGAGGUAAAGGCUCACCAAGCCUUCGCUCUGUAGCUGGUCUGAGAGGACGACCAGCCACACUGGGACUGAGACACGGCCCAGACUCCUACGGGAGGCAGCAGUGGGGAAUUUUGGACAAUGGGCGAAAGCCUGAUCCAGCCAUGCCGCGUGCAGGAUGAAGGCCUUCGGGUUGUAAACUGCUUUUGUACGGAACGAAACGGUCUUUUCUAAUAAAGAAGGCUAAUGACGGUACCGUAAGAAUAAGCACCGGCUAACUACGUG